UGAUGGAAGAUGUUGAGCAGGCC
rnacentral:miRNA from 1 species